rnacentral:rRNA from 1 species
UGUGUGUCGUAGUUAACGCGUUAAACAGGGCGCCUGGGAAGUACGGCCGCAAGGCUAAAACCCAAAGGAAUUGACGGGGACCCGCACAAGCAGUGGAGCGCCUGGUUUAAUUCGAUGGUCAGCGAAGAACCUCACCUAGGCUUGAACUGUAGCUGCACGCUCCCAGAAACGGGAGAAUCCUUCGAGGGUGCUACAGAGGUGCUGCAUGGCUGUCGUCAGCUCGUGUCGUGAGAUGUAGGGUUAAGUCCCACAACGAGCGCAACCCCUAUUCAGUGUUAUAAUUACUCUGAAGACUGCCCUGUCCAAACGGGGAGGAAGGAGGGGACGACGUCCAGUCAUCAUGUCCCUUAUGUCUAGGGCUACACAGACGCUACAAUGGCCGGUACAAUGGGUUGCCAAACCGCGAGGUGGAGCCAAUCCCAUCAAAGCCGGUCCCAGUUCGGAUUGCAGUCUGCAACUCGACUGCAUGAAGUUGGAAUUGCUAGUAAUCGCGAAUCAGCACGUCGCGGUGAAUACGUUCUCGGGUCUUGUACACACCGCCCGUCAGGGUACGGGAGUCGCUCUUGCUCGAAGU